AGAGUUUGAUCCUGGCUCAGAACGAACGCUGGCGGCGGGCCUAACACAUGCAAGUCGAGCGCGAAUGUCACCUUUGGGUGGCUAUUAGAGUGGCGCACGGGUGAGUAAUACGUGGGUAAUUUAUCCUCUGGUCUGGGAUAACAUCUCGAAAGGGGUGUUAAUACCGGAUACGUUUCUUGGCUCUUUGGGGUCGAGAAGGAAAGGCGGCCUUUGGGUUGUCGCUGGAGGAUGUGCCCGCGUCCCAUUAGCUUGUUGGUAGGGUAAUGGCCUACCAAGGCUAUGAUGGGUAGCUGGUCUGAGAGGAUGAUCAGCCACACUGGAACUGAGAUAUGGUCCAGACUCCUAUGGGAGGCAGCAGUGGGGAAUUUUGGGCAAUGGGCGAAAGCCUGACCCAGCCACGCCGCGUGAGUGAUGAAGGCCCUUGGGUUGUAAAGCUCUGUCAGGAGGAACGAAAUUAACGGGGUAAUGCCCGGAAUUGAUGGUACCUCCAAAGGAAGCACCGGUUAACUCUGUGCCAGUAGUUGUGGUAAUACAGAGGGUGCAAGCGUUGUUCGGAUUUAUUGGGCGUAAAGCGCGUGUAGGCGGUUUGUUAAGUCAGAUGUGAAAGUCCGUGGUUUAACCGCGGAAGUGCAUCUGAUAUUGAUGGACUUGAGUACCGGAGAGGGUGGCGGAAUUCCCGGUGUAGAGGUGAAAUUUGUAGAGAUCGGGAGGAAUACCCGUGGUGAAGGCGGCCACCUGGACGGAUACUGACGCUGAGACGCGAAAGCGUGGGGAGUAAACAGGAUUAGAUAUCCUGGUAGUCCACGCUGUAAAUGAUGGGUACUAGGUGUCGCGGGUAUUGAUUCCUGCGGUGCCGAUGUUAAUGUAUUAAGUAUCCCGCCUGGGGAGUAUGGAUGUAAGUUUAAAACUCAAAGGAAUUGACGGGGGCCCGCACAAGCGGUGGAGCAUGUGGUUUAAUUCGAUGCUAUGUGCAGAAUCUUACCUGGGUUUGAACUGCAGUGGACCGCCUCAGAGAUGAGGUUUCCCUUUGGGGCUGCUGUGGAGGUGCUGUAUGGCUGUCGUCAGCUCGUGUUGUGAGAUGUUGGGUUAAGUCCCGCAACGAGCGUAACCCUUGCCUUUAGUUGCCAGCGGUUUGGCUGGGCAUUCUAGAGGGACUGCCGGUGUUAAACCGGAGGAAGGUGGGGACGACGUCAAGUCCUCAUGGCCUUUAUGCCCAGGGCUACACACGUGCUACAAUGGUCGGUACAGAGGGCUGCGAUCCCGUGAGGGGGAGCUAAUCCCAAAAAACCGAUCUCAGUUCGGAUUGCAGUCUGUAAUUCGACUGCAUGAAGUCGGAAUCGCUAGUAAUCGCGGAUUAGCAGGCCGCGGUGAAUACGUUUUUGGGCCUUGUAUAUAUUGCCCGUCACACCAUGGGAGUCGGUUGCUCCAGAAGUGAUUGAGUUAAUUUUAGGGAGGUAGGUCCUUAAGGAGUGGCCGGUGACUGGGGUGAAGUUGAAAUAAGGUA
rnacentral:rRNA from 1 species